GGUUAAUUAGCUUAUUUGGUAGAGCGCUCGGGGUCUAGUCGAGAUAACAAGGUUCAAUUCCUUGAUUGACCA
rnacentral:tRNA from 1 species